AAAUUUUCCUACAAAUCCUGAAGCUAUUGAGUAUACCAUUUUAAAAAUGGUUAACAUUUUUAAAUAGUAAUUUGACAUGUGUUUGUUUUUUUUUCAUUCACAGCAUAUAGCACUUUCUAUGUUGUUGGGUUAAUAUUAUCCAUGCAGAUACCUUUUGUUGGAUUUCAGCCAAUUAGGACAAGUGAGCACAUGGCAGCUGCAGGUGUGUUUGCUCUUUUACAAGCCUAUGCUUUCCUGCAGUAUCUGAGAGAAAGACUAACAAAGCAAGAAUUUCAGGCGUUAUUCUUCUUAGGUAUAUCAUUGGCUGCUGCAGUUGUAUUCCUGAGCGUUAUCUAUUUAACAUAUACAGGUUACAUUGCACCAUGGAGUGGCAGAUUCUAUUCAUUGUGGGAUACUGGGUAAGCAUAA